rnacentral:rRNA from 1 species
UAAAAAUUAAUUUAGGUAGUAAAAAAAAAUAAAACCUAUAUGUAAAUGGCGGCAUUUCAUCUUAUUAGAGGAAUAUGUUUACUAAUCGACUAUACACGCUAUAUUUCACUUAAAACUAAAUCUUAUAUACCUCCGUCUAAAGAAUAAAUUUUAAAAUAUUAUUCUAAAUAAAAUUAUAAAAAGUCAGGUAAAGGUGUAGACUAUAUUUAAGAAUAAAAUGUAUUACAUUAAAAAAAAUUUAAGGAGAAAAUAAAAAAUUAAUUUUACAAAAAGGAUUUAAAUGCAAUAAAAAAACAAUAAUUUUUUAUGAAUAARAAAACAAAUGUGU